rnacentral:rRNA from 1 species
CAGUCGCCGCGGUAAUACAGAGGAUGCAAGCGUUAUCCGGAAUGAUUGGGCGUAAAGGGCUCGCAGGCGGUUUCUUAAGUCUGAUGUGAAAGCCCCCGGCUCAACCGGGGAGGGUCAUUGGAAACUGGGAAACUUGAGUGCAGAAGAGGAGAGUGGAAUUCCACGUGUAGCGGUGAAAUGCGUAGAGAUGUGGAGGAACACCAGUGGCGAAGGCGACUCUCUGGUCUGUAACUGACGCUGAGGAGCGAAAGCGUGGGGAGCGAACAGGAUUAGAUACCCGCGUAGUCCCUGUCUCUUAACA